rnacentral:rRNA from 1 species
GUAGGUGGCAAGCGUUGUCCGGAAUUAUUGGGCGUAAAGCGCGCGCAGGCGGUUCUUUAAGUCUGAUGUGAAAGCCCACGGGCUCAACCGUGGAGGGUCAUUGGAAACUGGGGAACUUGAGUACAGAAGAGGAAGGCGGAAUUCCACGUGUAGCGGUGAAAUGCGUAGAGAUGUGGAGGAACACCAGUGGCGAAGGCGGCUUUCUGGUCUGUAACUGACGCUGAGGCGCGAAAGCGUGGGGAGCAAACAGGAUUAGAUACCCUGGUAGUCCACGCCGUAAACGAUGAGUGCUAAGUGUUAGGGGGUUUCCGCCCCUUAGUGCUGCAGCUAACGCAUUAAGCACUCCGCCUGGGGAGUACGGCCGCAAAGGCUG